UCGAGAAUUUUUCUCAAUGGGGGCAACCCUGAAGGAGCGACGCCGCGUGGAGGAUGAAGGCUUUCGGGUUGUAAACUCCUGUCAUUUGGGAACAAAGCGGGGCCGCGAGGCCCCGCCCGCUAGUACCAGAAGAGGAAGAGACGGCUAACUCUGUGCCAGCAGCCGCGGUAAUACAGAGGUCUCAAGCGUUGUUCGGAUUCAUUGGGCGUAAAGGGCGCGUAGGCGGCGGGGCCAGUCGGGUGUGAAAUGCCGGGGCUUAACCCCGGCCCGGCACUCGAUACUGCCCGGCUUGGAGGGCUGGAGAGGAGAUCGGAAUUCACGGUGUAGCAGUGAAAUGCGUAGAGAUCGUGAGGAAGACCGGUGGCGAAGGCGGAUCUCUGGACAGCACCUGACGCUGAGGCGCGAAGGCCAGGGGAGCAAACGG
rnacentral:rRNA from 1 species